GUAAUCAGUCACGUGAUUGUUUGUGUUUGUCAGGAUGCCGAAGAGAAAAUGCGUAUUUACUUUGAAAGAAUGCUGUCUAUACAAUAUAGCAAAGAAUGUAGAUAGUUAUUGGUGUUUCCAGUAUUUACAAGAUAGAGAAAAGUAUUUAUAUGUGAUUGGUCCGUUUGAGGAACUAGGUGAGAUGAUGUUACAUAUUAUGAUGCAAUGUACAGUAUUACAACUCAUAAUACAGUUUGAUCCCGAUAAAAUGAUCUCUUAGAUUAAGUAGCAAAGUCUCACUGUAGUUUGAAAUUUUUACGAAUCACAAAGUUCCUCAAUAUUUUUCUGAAGUAUAAAUUAUAUCCUAUAUUACUCAAAUUUUGACAUCUUGAAGUUAUGGAAGUUUAAAAAUUUAGCAAUGAAUAGAAUUA
rnacentral:lncRNA from 1 species